GCUCCAGUAGCGUAUAUUAAAGUUGUUGCAGUUAAAAAGCUCGUAGUUGGAUUUCUGGCAUAUUACGCCUGGUCCGCCGCGACUAGCGGUGUGAGUACCGGUGCGCGGUUGCAUCCUUCUAGAGAAUGGGUUUACCUUCAUUGGGCCGGAUCCAGAAUCUAGAUCAUUUACUUUGAAAAAAUUAGAGUGUUUAAAGCAGG
rnacentral:rRNA from 1 species